UACGUAGGGUCCGAGCGUUGUUCGGAAUUACUGGGCGUAAAGAGUGCGUAGGCGGUUUUCUAAGUUUGGUGUGAAAUCUCCCGGCUUAACUGGGAGGGUGCGCCGAAGACUGGAAGGCUUGAGUAUGGGAGAGGUAAGCGGAAUUCCUGGUGUAGCGGUGAAAUGCGUAGAUAUCAGGAGGAACACCUGCGGUGUAGACGGCUUACUGGACCAUAACUGACGCUGAGGCACGAAAGCGUGGGUAGCAAACAGG
rnacentral:rRNA from 1 species